AGGGAGUCAUCUAAGAAUGCAGAAAACAACCAAUCCAUUGCUCUAACUCCAUCAACAUUGACAGAAGAACUCGAAAUUGGACACUCCAACCAGACAGAGCAUGUGGAGGCCGAAAAUAGUUCUCUCAGAGAUACAAUUUCUUGGACGCAAGGUACAAGUCAAUUUGCUGCUUGUGAACUUGU